GACGAACGCUGGCGGCGUGCUUAACACAUGCAAGUCGAGCGGAAAGGCCCUUCGGGGUACUCGAGCGGCGAACGGGUGAGUAACACGUGAGUAACCUGCCCUAGGCUUUGGGAUAACCCCGGGAAACCGGGGCUAAUACCGGAUAUGACCUGGUGCCGCAUGGUGUUGGGUGGCAAGUUUUUUCGGCCUGGGAUGGGCUCGCGGCCUAUCAGCUUGUUGGUGGGGUGAUGGCCUACCAAGGCGAUGACGGGUAGCCGGCCUGAGAGGGCGACCGGCCACACUGGGACUGAGACACGGCCCAGACUCCUACGGGAGGCAGCAGUGGGGAAUAUUGCACAAUGGGCGGAAGCCUGAUGCAGCGACGCCGUGUGAGGGAUGAAGGCCUUCGGGUUGUAAACCUCUUUCAGCAGGGACGAAGCGUGAGUGACGGUACCUGCAGAAGAAGCGCCGGCCAACUACGUG
rnacentral:rRNA from 1 species